AUUAACGCUGGCGGCGUUCCUAAUUCCUUCAAGUCGACCGCACAGAUGAGUAGCUUUCUCCUCUUACGUUAUCGGCGUACGGUUGAUUUACACUUUGUUUACCUACCUUUAAUUCUUGGUUUACUUCGGUAACCCCUUGCUUAUUCCGCUUUAUAUUUUUAUCCUCUUUUUUCUAUUGUUUAUUUCGGUUUUUCUUUCACUUAUUUAUUGAUCCUCGCCUCAUUAGCUAGUUGGUAAGGUAACGGCUUACCAAGGCAACGAUGGGUAGCCGAACUGAGAGGGGGAGCGGCGAAACUGGAAGUGAGACACGGACCAGAGUACUACGGGAGGCAGCAGAAGGGAAUAUUACGCAAUGGGCGAAAGCCUGACGGAGCAACGCCGCGUGAGUGAUGAAGGUCUUCGGAUCGUAAAACUCUGUUAUUAGGGAAGAAAAAAUGUGUAAGAAAAUAUGAACGUAUUGACGGUAACUAAUAAGAAAGCAACGGCUAACUACGUG
rnacentral:rRNA from 1 species